rnacentral:rRNA from 1 species
CCUACGGGAGGCAGCAGCCGCGGUAAUAUUGGACAAUGGGCGAAAGCCUGAUCCAGCCAUGCCGCGUGUGUGAAGAAGGUCUUCGGAUUGUAAAGCACUUUAAGUUGGGAGGAAGGGCAGUAAGUUAAUACCUUGCUGUUUUGACGUUACCAACAGAAUAAGCACCGGCUAACUUCGUGCCAGCAGCCGCGGUAAU